rnacentral:lncRNA from 1 species
CAGAAAUGUCUAUGUGGUAAAUAGUACUAACCAGUAGCGUAGAUCAGCAAAUGUUCCAUGAGCCAAAGGAUUAUGCCCACCCAAACUUGGAUCAGCCUACUUAACAUUGUGCUAGUUUCGUUAGCAUUCGUAUAUAUGAGUAUGUGAUGAAGAGAUAUUGAGAAACAUAAAGGAAAGGUUCUAAUUUUUUGUGGGAGGCGUUGUGUACACUAUCAAAUAAUUAUUAACAUGAUAAAUGAUUAUGGAUCAGUUUAAAUAUCAGAUCAGCAUGACCAGUUCAUGUAAACUGAAAAGUUUCUUUCAUUUAUGUAGUUAAGGGAUACAUUUACAAAAAAAUGUUGAUGUGUAGUUUGUUGAAGAAAUUUGGAAAAUGUUACAAUAUGUAAAGAAUACACUACAUUGUGUUAACUUGAGAAAGCAUACCUGUUUUGGAUUGAAGUUGUAGCCCGCGACAAUGAUCCAAUGAUUGUAAAUAGCCAGGGAACAUGCCAAAAAUAGCAAGGGGUAAAUUAAAUAUGUGCUUUGUAGGCUGAGAAUAGGUAUGAAUAAAGGAAAACUAAUAGUGUGUUUGGGAAUAAAUAUGUUUAGAUAUCUUUGAAGGGGAACCAGAAAUUUAGGCAUGCAAUCAGAUGAACACUGGCAACAGUUUCAGGUGCAAAACUUAGUUUUCUUGUUUUACUUUGUUAUCUUAUCGAUCUAUGAUGAAAAGAAAAUGCAUGAUUCAGAAACAAUAUUUUACAGCAAAC